CCUACGGGAGGCUGCAGUGAGGAAUAUUGGUCAAUGGGCGCGAGCCUGAACCAGCCAAGUAGCGUGAAGGAUGACUGCCCUACGGGUUGUAAACUUCUUUUAUAAAGGAAUAAAGUGAGGCACGUGUGCCUUUUUGUAUUUACUUUAUGAAUAAGGAUCGGCUAACCCCGGGCCAGCAGCCGCGGUAAUACAGAGGAUCCGAGCGUUAUCCGGAUUUGUUGGGUUUAAAGGGAGCGUAGAUGGGUUGUUAAGUCAGUUGUGAAAGCUUUCGGCUCAACCGUAAAAUUGCAAUUGAUACUGGCAGUCUUGAGUGCAGUUGAGGUAGGAGGAAUUCGUGGUGUAGCGGUGAAAUGCUUAGAUAUCACGAAGAACACCGAUUGCGAAGGCAGCUUACUAAACUGCCACUGACGUUGAUGCUCGAAAGUGUGGGUAUCAAACAGGAUUAGAUACCCGAGUAGUC
rnacentral:rRNA from 1 species